UGGCGGACGGGUGAGGAAUACAUCGGAAUUUGCCCUGUCGUGGGGGAUAACGUAGGGAAACUUACGCUAAUACCGCAUACGACCUAACGGUGAAAGGGGGGGAUCGCAAGACCUCCCGCGGUUGGAUAAGCCGAUGUCAGAUUAGCUAGUUGGCGGGGUAAAGGCCCACCAAGGCGACGAUCUGUAGCUGGUCUGAGAGGAUGAUCAGCCACACUGGGACUGAGACACGGCCCAG
rnacentral:rRNA from 1 species